rnacentral:pre_miRNA from 1 species
AAUAAGUGUAAGUUUUGCACUAUUUAUAUCCAACGUUUGACCGUUCAUCUUAUUUAAAUUUUUUUAUGAUUAGUAUUUUUAUGGUUAUUAGAUGAUAAAACAUGAAUAAUACUUUAUGUGACUAACUUUUUUAUAUUUUUUAAAUAAGACGGACGGUCAAACAUUGGACACAGAUACCCACGACUGCACUUAUU